rnacentral:ncRNA from 1 species
CAACUAUAUAGGCAAACCGAAGUAAUUCGGCGCAGCAAAGCUAUAGGGACUUUUUAAGAAGUUAGUCAGUUACAAAA